UACGGAGGAUGCGAGCGUCAUCCGGAUUUAUUGGGUUUAAAGGGUGCGUAGGCGGAUCGUUAAGUCAGUGGUCAAAUUGAGGGGCUCAACCCCUUCCCGCCAUUGAAACUGGCGAUCUUGAGUGGAAGAGAAGUAUGCGGAAUGCGUGGUGUAGCGGUGAAAUGCAUAGAUAUCACGCAGAACCCCGAUUGCGAAGGCAGCAUGCCGGCUUCCUACUGACGCUGAAGCACGAAAGCGUGGGGAUCGAACAGG
rnacentral:rRNA from 1 species